rnacentral:rRNA from 2 species
CACGCAGGCGGUCGGAUAAGUCAGAUGUGAAAGCCCCGGGCUCAACCUGGGAACUGCAUUUGAAACUGUCGGACUAGAGUCUUGUAGAGGGGGGUAGAAUUCCAGGUGUAGCGGUGAAAUGCGUAGAGAUCUGGAGGAAUACCGGUGGCGAAGGCGGCCCCCUGGACAAAGACUGACGCUCAGGUGCGAAAGCGUGGGGAGCAAACA